GGGCGCCAACCCAGACAGGAAGACCACGUCAGUGACUCAACCCACUCAAGUGACGCACCCCUCCUAGGGACGGCAUGGAAGAGCACCAGUAAGCCAGUGACUCAGCCCCUGUAAUAGGGUUAGAGGCAGAGAAUCCCAGUGGAGAGAGGGGAACUGGCCAGGCAGAGACAGCAAGGGCGGUUCGUUGCUCCAGUGCCUUUUCGUUCACCUUCACACUCCUGGGCCAGACUACACUCAAUCAUAGGACCUACUGAAGAGAUGAGUCUUCAAUAAAGACUUAAAGGUUGAGACCAAGUCUGCGUCUCUCACAUGGACGGCCAUUACAAAACCACCCACCAUAAGAAGACCAAGCAGCGUGGAUUGGAGCAUCGGGUUGACGGAUGGACUUGGCAGAAAGAGCGAAGAUUCUGGGAGGACAAGUUACGGGAGCUACGGGAGCCCGAGAGGCAGCCCCCCAAUUUUUUUGGGGGGGGGCACACGAGAAGUUGGCCUGAGUCAGGAUGGAAUACUGAGCCAACUUCCCGUGCUUACAGGAGGCAUCAAAGUACUGGUCAGGCACCGUGUUAUGCGGUAGAGCGCACGUUGUCCCCAGUACGCGUUGAGAGCCCGGUGCGCUACAUCCCAGCUCCUAACAUCUGUCGGGCAAUUAAGUAAUCCUUCUAGGUAAGUAAUCCGCCUACGCACCAGAUCUCCAGUGCGACCCCACAGUCCAGUACGCCCUGUUCCUGCUCCUCGCACUAGCCUUGAGGUGCGGAUCUCCAGUCUGGUACCUCCAGUGCCAUCACCACGCACCAGGCCUCCAGUGCAUCAGCCCAGUCCAGUACGUCCUGCUCCUGCUCCUCGGGCUAGCCCUG
rnacentral:lncRNA from 1 species